UACGGAGGGUGCGAGCGUUGUCCGGAAUCACUGGGCGUAAAGGGUGCGUAGGCGGUCCGUUAAGUCUGAUGUGAAAGCCCUGGGCUCAACUCAGGAAUGGCAUUGGAAACUGGCGGGCUUGGAGUACGGGAGAGGGAAGCGGAAUUCCUGGUGUAGCGGUGAAAUGCGUAGAUACCAGGAGGAACACCGGUGGCGAAGGCGGCUUCCUGGCCCAGUACUGACGCUGAGGCACAAAAGCGUGGGGAGCGAACGGG
rnacentral:rRNA from 1 species